UGGCUUUUAUGUAUUUACGUUGCAUAUGAAAUGAUAUUUAUAGUAAACAGAUUAUUUUAUAUGCAGGUACAUGCAGGCCGAGCUUUUGCUUGCUG
rnacentral:pre_miRNA from 13 species